rnacentral:rRNA from 1 species
AUACGUAGGGGGCGAGCGUUAUCCGGAAUUAUUGGGCGUAAAGAGUACGUAGGCGGUUCUGUAAGCGUGAGGGGAAAGCCCGGGGCUUAACUCCGGUAAGCCUUUCGAACUGCAGGACUUGAGUGCUGGAGGGGAAAGUGGAAUUCCUAGUGUAGCGGUGAAAUGCGUAGAUAUUAGGAAGAACACCGGUGGCGAAGGCGGCUAUCUGGACAGUAACUGACGCUGAGGCGCGAAAGCGUGGGGAGCAAACAGGAUUAGAUACCCUGGCAGUCCACGCUGUAAACGAUGAAUACUAGGUGUAGGGGGUAUCGACUCCCUCUGUGCCGCAGUUAACACAAUAAGUAUUCCGCCUGGGGAGUACGGCCGCAAGGUUGAAACUCAAAUGAAUUGACGGGG